rnacentral:rRNA from 1 species
UCUGAAUUUAAGCAUAUUAAUUAGGGGAGGAAAAGAAACCAACCGGGAUUCCCCCAGUAAGGGCGACUGAACGGGGAGGAGCCCAGCGCGGAACCUCGCGCGCCUUACCGGCUGCGUCUGAGGAAUGUCGCGUUCCGGAGGGGCCUUCUCCGACCACACCGACCCCCCCCAAGUCCGCUUGAACGCGGCCACUACCCACGGAGGGUGCGAGGCCCGUACGGGGAUUAGGAGUCGGGCGGUCGGACGGCCCCGUCCGUAGAGUCGGGUUGCCUACUAACGCAGCCCAAAGCAGGUGGUAAACUCCAUCUAAGGCUAAAUAUGACCACGAGACCGAUAGCGAACAAGUACCGUGAGGA